UACGGGGGGAGCAAGCGUUGUUCGGAUUCAUUGGGCGUAAAGGGUGCGUAGGCGGCGCGGUAAGUCGGGUGUGAAAUCUCGGAGCUUAACUCCGAAACUGCAUUCGAUACUGCCGUGCUUGAGGACUGGAGAGGAGACUGGAAUUUACGGUGUAGCGGUGAAAUGCGUAGAUAUCAGGAGGAACACCGAUGGCGAAGGCAGCUCGCUGGGACGGUACUGACGCUGAGGCGCGAAAGCGUGGGGAGCGAACAGG
rnacentral:rRNA from 1 species